AAAAUUUGUUUUUAUUUUUUGAAACAAUCCAUUUUAUGAAAUCUCAAACUCAACUGAACUUCGUCUCUUUGUCUUCAAACUAUGUGCGGCCUUCAAACCAUCUAUCAAAAGUGUUUGCUUCCUUAAACUGAAUGUUAAAUUUUUUUAAAAUCUUAUCUUUUCACUGUGGAGAAAAAGAGGGAGGGAAAAGGGAGGCGAAACCAACCCAAUUCUUUUCCGUAAACUCAUUCAUUCACUGGAACGUACAUCCGUAAAUUCAUUCAAGUGUUUAUUAUUAUUUUCUUUUUUUCAUUUGUCUUUGUUUUUCUGACAUUUUUCUCUACCAUUUUCUUCUGUGCAUCCGCCAGUUGCUUGGUUCCUAAGCACCACCUAUCAUGUGAAUAUUUUCUCACACACACAGUACAAUUCCUUCUCUGUUAUCUUGGCUGCUUUAUCUGUGUAACAUGGUUUACCAUUCACACGGAGGGUUAGUUUUAUACGUUUACUCAUGUGAGUAAGAAUUUUUCCAUUGGUCCAUUACACAUUUGCAGCCUGGCUUAGAAGAUGCCUUGUUGAUUUGAGAACAUUGCUUUGUCUCAUGCAAUUUAAAAACAUUAAACGUUGUUUCUUCUAUUAAACUUUUUUUUUCCUUGGUUUAUCCUCCAUCUGUCACCCUUCUAUGGUACGAUCGUGGGUGCAUGCUCUGCAUGAGCAUUCUAGCCUCUCGCCUCACCUUGAAAUCUCUUUAAACACUUCACUUUAACUGUAUAUCCCGAGUUGAUCUCAAAUCUACUAUUGGUAAUUUCAUAUGCCAAUGCAAUUCCCAACCCGUUAGCUGACCAACACCCGAACAAACCCGCUCCGUCUAGCGUCCCAGGCUCAAAAUUUUUUGGCUCAAGGACCUCUAGGUUUACGAGUGCCGCAUCAGUAAUUGAAAUGCACAAAAUUCGCUUUCCAAAUUGGCAUACCUCCUUUGCCCAUUCUCUCCAUUUUUUCUUCAUCUCGUCUUUCUCUCUCUUGAGCAGGUGACACGUUACCCACAUGGAGGAUGCCCCGGCUCGGUUACGUGGACUCGUUCAAGACCCCUGACGCUUCCGAGCGAUGGUUGUCUGGGGCACGAGGUCAGGAAAUAACGCACUCCGGGAGAUGAGAGCGGUACAUUACGGUAGGGUAUUAUAUACUACGAACAAAAUCGUUAUUUAUGACAUCACAGGACAGUCAUUGCCGAGUUUGAGUAUGGGAUCAUGAAGAAAACAUAACGUAGCAUGUGCUUACGCUUCAUCCGUCCCCCAAACACACAACAAGGG